rnacentral:rRNA from 1 species
AGAAUCAACGCUGGCGGCGUGCCUAACACAUGCAAGUCGAACGAGAAAGGGGAGCAAUCCCUGAGUAAAGUGGCGCACGGGUGAGUAACACGUGACUAACCUACCCUGGAGUGGGGGAUAACUGAGGGAAACCUUAGCUAAUACCGCAUAACACCUACGGGUCAAAGGAGCAAUUCGCUUUGGGAGGGGGUCGCGGCCGAUUAGUUAGUUGGCGGGGUAAUGGCCCACCAAGACAGUGAUCGGUAUCC